rnacentral:rRNA from 1 species
AUGAACGCUGGCGGCGUGCCUAAUACAUGCAAGUCGAGCGAACAGACGAGGAGCUUGCUCCUCUGACGUUAGCGGCGGACGGGUGAGUAACACGUGGAUAACCUACCUAUAAGACUGGGAUAACUUCGGGAAACCGGAGCUAAUACCGGAUAAUAUAUUGAACCGCAUGGUUCAAUAGUGAAAGACGGUUUUGCUGUCACUUAUAGAUGGAUCCGCGCCGCAUCAGCUAGUUGGUAAGGUAACGGCUUACCAAGGCAACGAUGCGUAGCCGACCUGAGAGGGUGAUCGGCCACACUGGAACUGAGACACGGUCCAGACUCCUACGGGAGGCAGCAGUAGGGAAUCUUCCGCAAUGGGCGAAAGCCUGACGGAGCAACGCCGCGUGAGUGAUGAAGGUCUUCGGAUCGUAAAACUCUGUUAUUAGGGAAGAACAAAUGUGUAAGUAACUAUGCACGUCUUGACGGUACCUAAUCAGAAAGCCACGGCUAACUACGUG